AGUGAACGCUGGCGGUAGGCCUAACACAUGCAAGUCGAACGGCAGCACAGUAAGAGCUUGCUCUUACGGGUGGCGAGUGGCGGACGGGUGAGGAAUACAUCGGCAUCUACUUUUUCGUGGGGGAUAACGUAGGGAAACUUACGCUAAUACCGCAUACGACCUACGGGUGAAAGCAGGGGAUCUUCGGACCUUGCGUGAUUGAAUGAGCCGAUGUCGGAUUAGCUAGUUGGCGGGGUAAAGGCCCACCAAGGCGACGAUCCGUAGCUGGUCUGAGAGGAUGAUCAGCCACACUGGAACUGAGACACGGUCCAGACUCCUACGGGAGGCAGCAGUGGGGAAUAUUGGACAAUGGGCGCAAGCCUGAUCCAGCCAUACCGCGUGGGUGAAGAAGGCCUUCGGGUUGUAAAGCCCUUUUGUUGGGAAAGAAAAGCAGCAGGUUAAUACCCCGCUGUUCUGACGGUACCCAAAGAAUAAGCACCGGCUAACUUCGUG
rnacentral:rRNA from 1 species